rnacentral:rRNA from 1 species
GUGCCAGCCGCCGCGGUAAUACCGGCAGCCCGAGUGAUGGCUGAUAUUAUUGGGCCUAAAGCGUCCGUAGCUGGCCGAACAAGUCCGUCGGGAUAUCCACGUGCUUAACACGUGGGCGAACGGCGGAAACUGUUCGGCUUGGGGCCGGAGGACCCGAGGGGUACGUACGGGGUAGGAGUGAAAUCCUGUAAUCCUGGACGGACCGCCGGUGGCGAAAGCGCCUCGGGAAGACGGAACCGACAGUGAGGGACGAAAGCUGGGAUCUCGAACCGGAUUAGAAACCCGAGUAGUCC